GAUGAACGCUGGCGGCGUGCCUAAUACAUGCAAGUCGAGCGAACGGACGAGAAGCUUGCUUUUCUGAUGUUAGCGGCGGACAGGUGAGUAACACGUGGAUAACCUACCUAUAAGACUGGGAUAACUUCGGGAAACCGGAGCUAAUACCGGAUAAUAUUUUGAACCGCAUGGUUCAAAAGUGAAAGACGGUCUUGCUGUCACUUAUAGAUGGAUCCGCGCUGCAUUAGCUAGUUGGUAAGGUAACGGCUUACCAAGGCAACGAUGCAUAGCCGACCUGAGAGGGUGAUCGGCCACACUGGAACUGAGACACGGUCCAGACUCCUACGGGAGGCAGCAGUAGGGAAUCUUCCGCAAUGGGCGAAAGCCUGACGGAGCAACGCCGCGUGAGUGAUGAAGGUCUUCGGAUCGUAAAACUCUGUUAUUAGGGAAGAACAUAUGUGUAAGUAACUGUGCACAUCUUGACGGUACCUAAUCAGAAAGCCACGGCUAACUACGUG
rnacentral:rRNA from 1 species